AUUGAACGCUAGCGGGAUGCCUUACACAUGCAAGUCGAACGGAGUGGCGAACGGGUGAGGGAUGUAUCGGAACGUGCCCAGUAGCGGGGGAUAACUACGAGAAAGCGUAGCUGAUACCGCAUACGAUUGGAGCGGCCGAUAUCGGAUUAGCUAGUUGGGGGGGUAACGGCUCACCAAGGCGACGAUCCGUAGCGGGUUUGAGAGGACGACCAGCCACACUGGGACUGAGACACGGCCCAGACUCCUCCGGGAGGCAGCAGUGGGGAAUUUUGGACAAUGGGGGAAACCCUGCUCCACCCCUCCCGCGUGUGCGAUGCAGGCCUUCGGGUUGUAAAGCACUUUUGGCAGGACAGCGGUACCUGCAGAAUAAGCACCGGCUAACUACGUGCCAGCAGCCGCGGUAAUUC
rnacentral:rRNA from 1 species